rnacentral:lncRNA from 1 species
GUUUGUAAUUUCUUUGCAUGUUAUUUUGGGUUGCUGAUGAUGACUAUAGUGUCAUUGGAGACUGUUUUGUUUUGGGUAUAUGGUUUUGGUGUAUGAUUUUUGGUCAGACUUUUGUUGUUGGUUGUUAUGUUUUUUUUUUUUUUUUUUUGGGGGGGGGGGGUUAGAUUUUAGAUUGGUGAUGAUGACUAUAGUGUCAUUGGAGACUGUUUGUAGUUUUGGUCUAUGAUGUUUUGUUGAGACUUUUGUUGUUGGUUUUCAUGUGUUUUCUUGGCUUUACAUUUUGGGUUAGUGAUGAUGACUAUUCGGAGGCUGUUUUUUUGGGGUUUGUGGUUUUGGUCUAUGAUGCUUUGUUGAGACUUUUGUUGUUGGUUGUGUAUGGAUUGAUGGGUAUUCAGUGUUGUUUUGUCAUUUUUUUGGUAAAACUUUAUGUAAUCAUGUAAUGUUGUUUUUUUGUGUUUCAUGUUACAUUCACAGAGUUUAGGUCGAUGAUGGUGACUUUUAUGUCACCUAAGACAUUUAUUUUUGUUUGCACGCUACCAAGUGUUUGACAGUUCAUUGGUCUUUGUAUAUCCAUGGGUUUUUGGUCGGUGAGGAUGACUCUUUAUUUUCCGAGACCGUUUACACUUUGCAUUUGCUUCUGUCAUGCUGUGGUUGGAAGACUAUUUAAUUUGGGUAUUACAAUACUGCGAUGAUGCUACGCUAAGACACUACAUGCAUGCUAUCAAAGCAAAAUCAAACAUGUCUUGAAGACCGUUAAGAGCCAUUAGGCCAAAAUGUAACACCCCAAUCACAUAACACGCGGCGGAAAUAUCGGGGAGUCACGUUACAAAUUGCUCACAACAACUGGGUGAUGGUAUUAAGGCGAUGGCACAAACAAAGGAAGUUGAACACUUUGACUCAAUGACACUGUUACAUUCGUUGAACAGGGUAACAACCUACAUCUGCAGCAAGUCCAUGGAUUACAUGGCUACCACAUGGUGCCUCGCUCAUCCUUGGUAGGAAAGCUAAGUUUACUCCUAUACCAGAUCUGGACAUACCUGAUGUAUACUUCCGAGUUUUCAACGUUUGAGAUGUUGAAUGACAAAGUGUAAAGCUACAGACUCUUGAUAUGUACAUUUAAAAACCAUAAAUAU